CUCAGCAUCCGUUGAGAAAGUCCAGCGCUCGCUGGGUUUGAGCGGUCGCUGGAAACACAUAGAAAAGUUAGUAAUCUGCACAAAGAAAUUUUCUCAAACAUUAAUCUCAAGAUUCUCAACAAAAGCAUAUUUGCAAGAAAAGCCAACCUUCAGAAGCUGCUUACGUUAAGCCAAAGAUAAAGAUCAAAAUCUGGACUUGCUGCUUCUCGCAGCCAUAAUUUUGUGUCUUCAAGCAAGAAAAAGACACACACUGGCACACACACAGUGUGUUUUUGGCAACAAAUUUCAACGCCAUUAAAAUAUUAAUAUAAAGAAAUUCACAACUACUACAUCUUUCGCCAUCAUCUUCCUAGAAACACAAGAGAGAGAUGGAGAAAACGAGAAGAAUACAAACUUGAAGCAGAGAUGGGUUGCUGCGAAACGCCCAAGAUUUGGAGCUGCCACGUGGGAUGGUGGUGCGCACCCUCCUCUUGUUCACCACCACCAUCUUCCUAGACCUCAGCGGCGGCGCCUCUUGCAUAGACGGGGCAUCGAUUCCAACAGAGAUUAUCAGUUCCAUAAUUUGCAAAGAAUGAAUCUCUGUUUAAUUCAGCUUUCUGGUUUCUUAGCUCUACCAAUUGAGUAUCUGAUUUGAAGGGAAAGGCGACGAGCAGGAAGAGCUGGAGUCGGUGCAGGAUACCCAGCCAUUGAAGUCUGGUGGGGGAAACAGUUUUAUCAGAUCGGACAAAGCGAAUAUUGAUCUGACGAAGAAGAUGAGGGUUUCUCCGAUUUUGUUCAAGAAAUGGUGUCUCUCGUGAAUGGGUACACUUGCUCUGUUUAAUGAUGUAUUGGGCUUAGUUGGUGAAUUCGCGUGAGAGCUGAGUUAUGAUGAGAUUGAUAUUGAAAAUAGGGAAAAACAUACAGCAUGGAAGAACUGUUUUGGGAGAUGGCACAAGCUUAUGAGAUUCCUAAAUGGACAUGUGAAGAAAACAAGUUCAAAUAUGAAAUAUCUGGACUGUAACUUCUUCUCAUCAACUAAAAUGUGGCUGGGUUUCCAGCGCUCGCUGGUACCCAGCGCUCGCUGGGUUUCCCAGCGCUCGCUGGAACUCAGCGGUCGCUGGGUUUCCAGCGGGGCUGGGACUCAGCGGGCGUUGGCUUCAUGGAAUUCAAUUCCAAAAUUAUCCCGUAAAGUCUUCGAAAAUCAGUGAAAAUCGGGGUGAAAUCCAACCACGAAUUCUUUGAAA